UACGUAGGGUGCGAGCGUUGUCCGGAAUUAUUGGGCGUAAAGAGCUCGUAGGCGGUGUGUCACGUCGGCCGUGAAAACCUGCAGCUUAACUGUGGGCGUGCGGUCGAUACGGGCAUCACUGGAGUUCGGCAGGGGAGACUGGAAUUCCUGGUGUAGCGGUGAAAUGCGCAGAUAUCAGGAGGAACACCGGUGGCGAAGGCGGGUCUCUGGGCCGAUAUUGACGCUGAUGCGCGAAAGCCAGGGGAGCAAACGGG
rnacentral:rRNA from 1 species